GCUUCUUCUUUCUUCUUCCCUGUUCUUUCUCUCUGUAAAUUUCGAGCUCAUAGAUUGAGCCUCUUCUGCCGAUUAAUUCUUAUAAACCUUGUUAGGUUGAUGAACUGAGUGAGGAGAUGAUGAUGAUGCUGUCGAUGGAGUUUUUGGAAGAAACAGAAGUUAGGGCUUCAGCUGAUUUUGAGGUUGUGUAGAACUGAUGAUGAUUUAGUGUUGCUGAUUGACGAAGAACAGAAGGGUUGUGAUAGAAUUGAUAAUCUGAAGUUGUUCCAAUGAUGAAUUAAAGCUAGGGUUUCAUGUUCUUCCCAAAUCAGGUAAUUUAGGGUUCUUUUGAAUUGAAGAUUAAAUCGAGUGUUUUUGAUUGAUUAAUUGGGUUAUUAAAUAUGGGUUUUAAUUAGGUAAGAAGUAGAAUUGUUUGUUUGAGUUCAUUUUUGAUUUCAUAGAGAAUUAGGAUUUCCUGAGUUAAUUUAGAGUCACUGAUUUUAGACUCAUUAGGAAAGAAGUUAAAUUAGGGAUUUUAAUGAAGUUCUGGAAUUGGGGGAAGAAUAAAGGAAUUCAGAGAACAUGAGUUGAUGAAAUCCAAGUUGCAGACAAAGAAGAGGUUGAAGUAAGGAUUGUAUUGAUAUUGAAAUGGUUGCUGAGUUGGUUUGAAUUGUGAUAAUGAUGAUGUUGGUGAAGUUGAGUUUUUGGUAGUGUUCUAGAUGGAUGUUAGGUGUUUGUGUUGGUGGAGGUAGUCUUAUCUGAGGUUGUAGAUCUGUUAAAGAAUGAGGAAUUGAAGGAUGUUCUUGAACUACAGAGUUGGUGGUUGUAUUGAAAUCGGGUGCUGAUGGAAUUUCCGUUGGUGGUGGUGGUUUAGUAAAGCGCAUGAAUUUGGAGAUGGUGUUGGUACCAGUUUGGCUACUGAUGCAGGACAUGGCAGGGUAGUUGAUGUUGAACUGGUAGGAGUUGCACAUAGUUUGUUAGGUGCAGGGAAGAGUCGGGUUGGUGAUGAAUUUGUGAAAGACACCAGUAGAGCAAAGAUUGUGCAGUGUUGAUGCAAUGGAAAUCGUAGUUGAGUAAGUAAGGCAGUCACAUAUAAUACCAAGAAGGUUGAGCAAGAUAAAUUGAUAUCAUUGUUGGAGGUUUUGGCUGGAGCUAAAGGUAUCUGAGCCGAGGUUAGAUUGUGGCGGAGUUGAGGAUGAAAUGGUUAUGUAAACUGAAUCUAGUGGGUCUGCAAUGUGAAGCUGGGUUGGUAAUGAUGUUGUUGUGAAGGUAAAGUGUGGGUUAAUCAAUACAAGGUUUUGGGUAUGGGGAUGUUAAAUCUGCAGGAUGAAGGUUUAAGUUACUAUAGCGGGUUACAUGAACUUUUGAGGUGAAGCCUGGUGCUUUUGUUAGUCUUUAUAAACAACGAUCGAUUCAAAGGAUGGACUAGUGGAUUGAGGAUCUCGAGGUAGGCGUGGCUUGUCAUCAAAUCAGUAAUCAUAAGAAAUGGAGCGUUUGAAGAUAUCAGUUUCGUAGCUUAGAGCUUUAUCGAAUCUAGUGUUGUUGUACAUCUUUUACUACAUGUAUUCUUUCUUAUUUGUAACCAGCACAUUAAUAUAUUUAUAUCACCGGAGAGAUUUUCAUUUAUACAAUAUUUAGAGAGUUUGGGUUUGUUUUUUAGCAUUUCAAGUAAUUAGGAUUCUUAAAAUCGGUAAUCUAGUUUUGAAGCUUCAAUUAGAUUGUAAUCCUAUUAGCUAAGCAGGUUUAUGAGUUGGGACGUCACAAGUUGGUAUCAGAUCUCAGUAAAAGCUUUGUAGUA